rnacentral:rRNA from 1 species
UACGGAGGAUGCGAGCGUUAUCCGGAUUUAUUGGGUUUAAAGGGAGCGUAGACGGGAGAUUAAGUCAGUUGUGAAAGGCUGCGGCUCAACCGCAGCACUGCAGUUGAUACUGGUUUCCUUGAGUGCGGUUGAGGUAUGUGGAAUUCGUGGUGUAGCGGUGAAAUGCUUAGAUAUCACGAAGAACUCCGAUUGCGAAGGCAGUUCACUGGGCCGCAACUGACGCUGAAGCUCGAAAGUGCGGGUAUCAAACAGG